rnacentral:rRNA from 2 species
GGGACCUCAGGUCAGGCGGGGCUACCCGCUGAGUUUAAGCAUAUCAAUAAGCGGAGGAAAAGA